CAUAAGGUUUUUCUGAAAACCAUUUCUUUUUUGCUUUAAAGCCUACU
rfam:OM182 bacterium BACL3 MAG-120619-bin32 contig00292_1_120619-bin32, whole genome shotgun sequence.